rnacentral:ncRNA from 1 species
UCAGCAUCCUGUCCUCUGCAGAGGCUGCAGGGGAAUUCCUGCUCCAAUGCCUGAGCUGUUGUAAGCCUAAGAUGCAGCUAAAGGCAUCCUCAAGACGAUCUUAGCAUAGCAUCCACGAUUAAUUAAACCCCACAAAAACUAAGAUGCAAACUGGGAUUAGAUACCUCACUAUGCCUCGCCCUAAAUCUUGAUACUUACCCUACCAAAGUAUCUGCCUGAGAAGCACGAGCACAAAUGCUUAAACCUGUAAGGACUUGGUGGUGCCCCAAACUCACCUAGAGGAUACUGUUCUAUAAUUGGUAAUCCCAUGAUACACCCAACUGGUCCUUGCCAGGACAGCCUACAUACUGCCGUCACUAGCUCACCUCUCCUGAGAGUGUAACAGUAUACUAGCCCUAACCCUGCUAACAAGACAGCUCAAGGUAUAGCUCAUGGGGCGAAAGAAAUGGGCUACAUUUUCUAAAAUAGAAAACUUCACAGGAGGGGAUGUGAAAUCAUCCCUAGAAGGCAGAUUUAGCAGUAAAGCGGGAAAAUAGAGCCCCUUUAAGUCGGCCCUGGGCACAUACAUACUGCUGUCACCCUUCUCACAAGCUAUAAGCCCUCGUAGCUAAUGCACAUAUCAGCUGAAGAUGGGGUAAGUCCUAACAAGGUAAGUGUCCCAGAAGGUGUACUUAGCUAUAACCUGAA